GACGAACGCUGGCGGCGUGCUUAACACAUGCAAGUCGUACGAUGACCCGGCUCUUCGGCGCUGGUGAUUAGUGGCGAACGGGUGAGUAACACGUGGGUGACCUGCCCUGCACUCUGGGAUAAGCCCGGGAAACUGGGUCUAAUACUGGAUACGACCAGUGGCCGCAUGGUCUGCUGGUGGAAAGCCCUUCGGGGUGGUGUGGGAUGGGCCCGCGGCCUAUCAGCUUGUUGGUGGGGUGAUGGCCUACCAAGGCGACGACGGGUAGCCGGCCUGAGAGGGUGGACGGACAAACUGGGACUGGGACAAGGCCCAGAAUGCUAAGGGAAGCAGGAGGGGGGAAUCUUGGAAAAUGGGCGAAAGCCUGAUGCAGCGAAGGCGGGAGGAGGAUGACGGGCUUCGGGUUGUAAACCUCUUUCGGGAGGGAACAAGCCUGGGGGUUUUCUUCUGGGUGAGGGUACCUGCGGAAGAAGCACCGGCUAACUACGUG
rnacentral:rRNA from 1 species